CAAUCUCUUAACGUUUCCACUUUUGUUAUGCAGGUAUUGAAGGAGAGUUUUAAAAUAUAUUGUUCCAUGAAUGAUGGAAUCAUCAAUCUUGUGGAUAUGUUUUUUGAUAUGUCAAGACAUGAUGCUGUCAAAGCCCUCAACAUUUAUAAAAGAGCAGGCCACCAGGCACAAAAUCUUGCUGAUUUUUACGAAUUUUGCAAAGGCUUGGAGGUCGCUAGAAAUUUCCAAUUUCCAACUUUGAGAUAGGUUAUUAUUUUUUUCUUCCAAUUUAUUUGUUUAAAUUUGGGUAAAGUGG